rnacentral:tRNA from 1 species
UGUGGUAGCUCAGUGGUAGAGCACUUGCCUAGCAUGUGUGAGGCACUGAGUUCGAUUCUCAGGACCACAU